rnacentral:miRNA from 1 species
UGCUGACUGUUCGAAGAGGCCG